UUGGACAGGACAAGUUGAAAAAAAAAAAAGAAGACCAUGGAAAACGGAAACAGGCCCCUUUCUGUGUAAACUGAAAGUUCUUUUGUUUUGGCAUGCUUCCCCCUAGUGGUGGGUUCGAGGACUGCAGGUUAGUGACUGCUGGAAAAACAACUGAUGGUGUUUGAAGGAAAUGAAGAAGAGUUCACAGAGCUUCUGGUCUAAGGCUGAAGUUCAGCUGCUGAAGAACUAAAACCAGACGUGACCAACACAAGAAAAGAAGAGAAUCACCACUGAUCUCUGGAAAAGCCUGCUGUGUUUAUGAGACAAUGAUCUGUUCCCUUAAAAUUAAACGUUCCUGAAUAUUUAACCUAAAAUUACAGCAAUCCAUCAUCUCGUCCUGCAACAGUUCACUCCAAAUAUUAAAAACAGAACUUUGCCUCUUAGUUCCCAAAACUAUCACAGAUGUAACAAACAAGCGGAGGCAGAUGGAUCCACAUGCCUUUAAGAGUCUUCAUGAAUUUAAGUGGAAACAGGAAAACAUUGAAAGGCAGCCGUCAGCUCCCGACUAGGACAAAGACCUGUGCAGGUUAGGGCGGCGGCAGGGCGAACACGGGACGACGGCCAGAAAAGCAGGACUUCACACAGAGGGGUGAUUGCAGGGCAGAGACAGGAGGCGCUGUCCAUCAACCGGUUUGCUCCGUCUGCUGUCAAUGUUGGGAUCUGAUGGAGAAGAAACAACACAUCUAGGGGUUCAAGCCCCCCGACUGAAGGCUUCUCGCUCAACCAGCUGCUGGGUCCUCUGAUGGGAAGCAGCUCAGACCGAUGCUUCUCCGUCUAACGGGUUUAUUGCUGGAUUCCAGAGACGGCAGCAAACAUACCUCAGCAUCAAACCCUCAACCUGACAGUCCAGAGUUUUUUCCACUGUCACAGCCAGUAAGUAAUAAUGGAGGGGGGGCAGAUAGAGAACAGAAUAGUGACAGAACGAUGAAGAAACGAUGCAGAAGAGGAGAGGAAGAACACAACAAGAAGAGAAGAAGAGUUUUCUGUCAGGGAUCACAUGACAUCACCAACAAAAGGAUGAAGGUUUUGUCCCAGAGAGCAGAAAGACGCUGAAUCCCUCACUCGUCUACAUCUCCUGUGUUCUAAAGGACAGCAGGAGUCCAUCUUCAGGUUGUUCCUACAGAUCUGUGACUGAAGAAAAAAAACGACCAAUCUGUCCUCGACCUGCUGAAAGACGGACGUGGAGACUCCAUCUUUGCUGCGUUCCAAGACGGAGAAAUGUUCCUGAUCCCGACAGAAAGACACCGAUAAGACGGUCAACCGUCAGACGUCUCCUUGUCAGCAUGAUCUUCAUUUUGAUCCACCACGCUUUUGUGCACAACGCACUGAUGAAAGCACGGGCGAGCUCCGACAAGCCCAGAAGAACCACUGAAAGGUCUGGAAGACGAUGGUAUCUUACAGGAACAGAACCUCCUGUCCAGGAGGAACCAGCAGGGGUUCACUAACACAAACAGGAACGGGUCGGCUAAGAAUAAUACACCUAAAAGCAGAAUUCUCCAACCAUGAAUAAACUUUUAGCAUAAAAAGGAGCUUCUGCUGUUCAUGAAGCUUAGAAAUCACAGGCAUGGCCCCUCCAGGCUUCCAUACAAAACAUGUUUUGGAUCCACUUUGUUCUUCAGAUUCUCAUUUAGUGAUUCCCCAUCAGAAGAAACUUCAUAUAAACCCAAAAAUGUCUAUAAAUCUUAGAUGUUUCAUGAAAAUAAAAAACUUUUUUUUAAUCAAAUGUUAUCACACUAAAGCUGUUUAUGACAAUAAAACCUUGAAACACGCUCAGAUGAAAGCAGCGAUUCCUGUAUUCACCAGAGCAAAAA